UACGAAGGGGCUAGCGUUGCUCGGAUUGACUGGGCGUAAAGGCGCGUAGGCGGAUAGUACAGUCAGGCGUGAAAUUCUUGGGCUCAACCUGGGGCUGCGUUUGAUACGUGUUGUCUGGAGUUCGGAAGAGGGUCGUGGAAUUCCAGUGUAGAGGUGAAAUUCGUAGAUAUUGGGAAGAACACCGGUGGCGAAGGCGGCGACCUGGUCCGAUACUGACGCUGAGGCGCGAAGCGUGGGAGCAAACAGG
rnacentral:rRNA from 1 species